rnacentral:rRNA from 1 species
GUGAAAUACGUGCCAGCAUGCGCGUGAAUACGGAGGGUGGGAGCGUUAAUCUGAAUUACUGGGCGUAAAGCGUGCGCAGGCGGUUUUGUAAGACAGGCGUGAAAUCCCCGGGCUUAACCUGGGAAGUGCGCUUGGGACUGCAAGGCUAGAGUGCGUCAGAGGGGGGUAGAAUUCCACGUGUAGCAGUGAAAUGCGUAGAGAUGUGGAGGAAUACCGAUGGCGAAGGCAGCCCCCUGGGACGUGACUGACGCUCAUGCACGAAAGCGUGGGGAGCAAACAGGAUUAGAUACCCCGGUAGUC